UACGAAGGGUGCAAACGUUGCUCGGAAUUAUUGGGCGUAAAGCGCACGUAGGCGGCUUUGCAAGUCGGAUGUGAAAUCCCUCGGCUUAACCAAGGAAGUGCAUCCGAAACUGCAGAGCUUGAGUACUUAAGAGGAUCGCGGAAUUCCCGGUGUAGAGGUGAAAUUCGUAGAUAUCGGGAGGAACACCAGUGGCGAAGGCGGGUCUCUGGGCCGAUACUGACGCUGAGGAGCGAAAGCGUGGGGAGCGAACAGG
rnacentral:rRNA from 1 species